ACUCCUACGGGAGGCAGCAGUGGGGAAUAUUGCACAAUGGGGGAAACCCUGAUGCAGCGACGCAGCGUGCGGGAUGACGGCCUUCGGGUUGUAAACCGCUUUCAGCAGGGAAGAAGCGCAANUGACGGUUAACCUGCAGAAGAAGUUACCGGCUAACUACGUGCCAGCAGCCNCGGUAAUACGUAGGGUACGAGCGUUGUCCGGAAUUAUUGGGCGUAAAGAGCUCGUAGGUGGUUGGUCACGUCUGCUGUGGAAACGCAACGCUUAACGUUGCGCGUGCAGUGGGUACGGGCUGACUAGAGUGCAG
rnacentral:rRNA from 1 species